rnacentral:misc_RNA from 1 species
AUCGAUAUCAGGUGCGAGUCGAGAGCCGACGUGCAACGCAGAGCGCUCGCGUGUGCUUUCGACCAACCAUCGUAAGGCCAAGCAGGGGAUCGCGUGCGUUCUUCGACUGCAGCUCCAUGCGGUAUGUCCCCGGGCAAAAAACGCAAGUCGCAGGGCGCUGAGGGCAGCGGAAAAUCAGCGAAACACCUGCGACAGUCCAGCGUGAGCUGCACCGACGAGGUACGGCCACUGGUGCUCGCGUUCAGCAACGCACGCUCUCGCGCUGAGCACAAGGAUCCCAACGACGUCCGCUGCGACGUAUCCAAGAGUCAACUACGAGACCCUGAGCUGUACCGCUUCCGCUCGCCUCCGGUUGGGCGUCGGAGAAGCCAGCAGAACGAAAUUUUUCUCAGUGGCUCUUGUCGCUUCGUGGGCGUGCUCGAACGAGCAAGACGGGUACUUUUUGAUAAACAGUAUAAUACCUUCACGCUCCACGCGACGGGAAGGGCGAUGGAACGAGCUAUUCGGGCUUGCUUGGUGCUCGUAGAACGCUACGGCACUUGGCUCACUUAUAGCGUCCAGACGAGCUCGGUCCCUCUCCUGGACGAGUACGAGCCCCGGCGUCAGAACUUGCCAUGGAUUCAGCAGACGCGCCUUCAGAGCGCCAUCCAUAUUGAGAUCAUAAAAACUAAAAGACUGCCUGUUGUCUAAAGAUGACAUUUGGUAGUGCGUAUUUCGCCUUAUCGAGGCGAUGCAGUCGACUGCAAUCGCUUUGGACGCUAGUGCGUUGCCAACAGAGCCAACUGCGUACGAUUGAGCUGCGUAUAUCUAGGAAAGACUCGAUUUUGCCGCUUUCCUCUCCUAUUCCCGUGUCAGAUAAAAACGGAACAGUGAACCGGUCGCCCGGUGCCUACGUUUCGACUAGUUUCCCGACCGCGUUUUGAUUUAGAGCACCGGCUACCGACGCGUAGCGAUAAGGCUGUUCAGUUCGUACGUAGGUUCAAAUUUCUCGGUCGCCUUUUCGGAAUAGUCUCUUCCACGCGUUGCUCUUGGAAUCCGUCACAUGACUGGGAUCAAGAUCAUAUGCGCGACGCUCUCUGUCUAGAUUUCAUGAACGAAGCGAUAUCAGUAUCGAAUGCUUAUGUUCAGAAUUCCGCGUCAUCCUUCCUUCAAAUGCAGCAUGCUCAAGUCGCGCAUGCUUCAGGUUUUUGAUCUCGCUGUUUCAAGGCAACUCGCGGCCAAAGGAAUUCGCAUACUCAGAUUGAAGAGGAAAACUUCGAAGACCUGCGUUGACGACUUGUUCACACGCUCAUACCGCCGGUUCGCAGAACUGCUCACCAAAAGUAAUCGAGUCCUUAGGAAAGGCGAAUCGCCGUCUGUUCAUGGCCUUCGACAAGACGGCAUUCGGCAAUGGCUUGAUAUCUCUCAUGCGAUAUGCGCCCGGAAACCUCUGUCUGUUCUGCUCGCUCGGGAAAGGGCGCUGGAGUCGGAUAUGUGUCAUUGCAGCCAUCGCUUCCAUUGGAGCGUCCGUCACCGCUUUGCGCGAAUGAAGUGUAGAAGGAUCGAAAUUUCUCGAGUUAUUCCUUAGCGCGAAUGUUUCGUCCGGUAAUUUUAUCACCAUGGGUUACAUCACAUACGAGAAACCCUCAUUCGAAUAGAACUGCUUCCACUUGCGCAUGCAGUGUGCAGCGUACUUGCCGAGGGGAUCGCCCAGAAGAAGCCCGUAAUUGUAGGUUAUGGCAUCGAGCACGGAAACGGAGGACGACAUCGAAAGCAGCUUUCUGCAUGCGUCGGAGACAUGCAACGAGCACUGAAACAUGCGUCCAUGCACCAAAGAACAUCGCACGGAAGCGGAGGUGUAAUGGGUAUUCGGUGACACCUAACCAUAUUCAAGCUUCACCGCUGGAAAUUGCGCAACCAAGCUGGAUACAAAGAAGACGAACAUUGUAAGCAGCGCGUAGAUCCCAACUUCCAUCUUCGCAUCAAAGGCGUCGACGACGGCCAGAAGCGGUGAAACCUGCGCCCGAACGCUUCAUAUUUCGACUAUUGAAAACAGCGCUCAAGGGGAAACGAUAGACUGCCGAGCUUCCAACCGGAGAUAGGAGAGAAGGAAACCAUGCAGUUAGAGAAAAAUCUCGCAAAGGGCUGUAUUGAUAUACGUAGCAAAAGACCCAGGGUGAAGCGUUUACGCCCAAAAUCGCUGGGUGCGAUCCGCUCCGUUUCAGUUUGCCACGAAUGUCACUAUACGCAAACGCAUACCCCUGGAUCGAGACUCCAUGUGGGCGUGACUUCUCGUUACCGUGCUCUCGGCUCCGACGACGCCCUAAACAGCAGGACAGAUAUCCGGGCACCGCAUCCGAUAUCGCCGAGCACCACGGUGGCAGGUUGCGCCCUGAAAGAGCGCAAGCGCACCGGUCCAUCACACUCCACAGGACAAUCAUUCGCACAUCACCUUUCGAGAAAGCGCCUUAUUUACAAGCCAUUUCUACAAAUGCAGGAGACCUUGGGUCUUCAAACGCGCGUGCUUACCUUGUUUCCGCUGCGCCUCUCACGACGUCAUGCUCUGCAUGGCGCAUGAAGGCCACGCUCACACCAUUCCAUACAUGGGGAGCCCCCUAACGCGCUAUUCGCAGACAUGGUUCAUAGUGCCGCGCCCGCGAUCAUCGCUUGAGAACCGGUUUUCUUCGAUGCGGGACUUGUGUCGGAACCCGUGCGGCCGUCAUGCAUUGCUUUGCAUCCAUUCGCAUGACCACAACGGCAUGUUUUCAUGGACCAUAAAGACAAGCC